AGUUACGGGAGGCAGGAUCAGGAAGGCAGAGCAGGUGCCUGUGGCUGGCGCUGGCAUCCUGGACCCACGAGACGAGUCCUCUUGUGUACACCUUCUUGCAGAGAAGCUCAGCUCUGUGUGGCCUGGCCCCUUUUCCAGGGUGGGAGACAAAGCCCCUGGUCCAUCUCCAAUGGAGUCGUUGUAUGCUGUUCUCCUAUCGACUGUCAGAAUGGGAGCAGCGAAAGCAGAAAGAACAAAGACUCCUUCUUUUUAUUUUUGUCUUCAAAUCUCCAGCUGAAGCAGUGUAUAUUGGAUCACUUACAUGGGAGAUGUUCUUGGGACUCUUCCAGAUUAUUUUAAGAAGGCAGGCAUUUUCUGAAAAUGAGCAUUCUGCUUUUGGGUUAAUUUUUGAAGGCCAUCUGUGAUUGAUUUACUAGAGUGCUAAUAAUAUUUUGCUUUCCUCUGUUUUGUCUCCAAAGCAUCCCAAACUUUGUCCCCAGCCCUGUAUACAUACCUAGCUCAGCUGCAAAGAGGCUGGAGUCACAGACUGUAGGACCACUCAGCAUUCCCAGUGUCUCCUCACCCUGAUGGAGUCGGGGAGCAUCUUCUAUCAUGUUGACACCUGACCAUGAGGAUUUGUGUUCUGGGAUGUCUUCUCCACCCUCAGAAAAUGAAACCAGAGAAGAAAAGCAUGGAGGAGGAGCUGCUCUCGUUGCAGGGCCCACUCUCCGUGCUCUACGUGAUCCUUUUUCUUUUGCUCUGAGCCUUUUGGCUUUAAUAGAACCUGCUUAAAAUUUAAAGGACCAAGGGGUCCCUGACAGAGAACUGAUGGCAAAGGCGAGAGCGGCCAGAAGAGGGCAAUUCCAGGUAAACAUGGUGUUGGUCUCUGGGAUCUGGGCCCUAAUUCUAUGCUGGAGUCCUCCAGAGAGCACAGGGGGAGCUGAUUACCUGGCCUGUUUCCAGUGUCCUCUUGACACUACUAUCCUGUCCACGUGGCUCAUUAGAGGAGCUUGUUAGAGCUCUGUGGUGGAAUCGACCUUCAGUGCUGUUGGCCUGGCUGGCCUAUUUUCCCUGAUGCUGCCACGUACAGCUCCAUUUCAGCUUUGUGCUGCUGCCCGCUGCUCUCCUCAACCCACUCUCUGUAGCCUCUGUUGCAGAGCUGGACCUUUUGGGCCAAUCGGAAUCCCUUCCCAGGACUUGGGAAUUGGCUGAGAGAAGGUUAAUGGCUGAGCCUGCAAUGUGUGCACCUGACAGUCAUUUUCCCCAAGAAAACCAGUGUUUCUCACCUCUGCAUCCGGUCCCCUUCCUCUGGUCCUUGCCUCUGGACACACCCUAUUUUUGUUUUCAUGAUAAUUUUUUUUUAAAGCCAUCUUGAGAUGUUUUCUAAACUUGCAACAGAGAAUUUUAACUUUUUUGAGCUUUUGGACUUAAUACUCCAUUGUAAUCUGUUCACUGAAGCUGUGGUGUUAGGUCCUUUUCCCCUGUAGGUAAAUUAAUUUUGUUCAGUCCUGAAGCAAUCGUCUAUCUCCUUAUCUAUUUUCACAAGGUGAGGAAGGAGGCACGGAUCAGCACUACUGGUAGAUUAACAGCUGAAAAGUAAAUGUACUUUAGAGAGUGAACAUCUAUUAUCUUGGAAUAUGAUUGAUGGCACCUUAUCUGUUUUGUUUUGUUUUUUUCUCCAGGCAGCCUACAACCCGAGGUUGUUAAGAACAAAUCUUGUACACAGAAGCAGUUGCUUUACUUGAUGUCCUCAGAAAGAUACGAGCCAGGAAGACUGAAAGUCUUUGCUGUUGUCAAAUCGAAUGGGAAAGGGAAUGAGCAGGGGUGAGGGUCAGGAGGCUGUGGGGAUAGAUGUAGGGUCAGAGGGACUGCAGGCUGUUGCAAAGUUUCAGAGCACGGCAGGGCUAUGUCUCCACACUCCUUCCUCAGUGUCCCCUGAGAGACAGCCAGGAGGGCAAUAUGGCUGCUGCAGCCACAAGCUGGGUGGUUUAAAACAACAGAAAUGUUUUGUCUGAUAGCCCUGGGAGUGAGCCGUCCAAAAUUAACGUGUUCUCAGGGCCACGAUCCCAGUGAAACCCACAGGGGAAAAUCCUGCCUUGGGGUUUUCUUGCUCCCAGUCGUUGCAGGGGCUCCUGGAGUUGGAGUGCUGUUAGAACUUUGUCACCACGUGACAUUCUCCCUGUGUGUCUUCACGUCCUCUUCCACCUGUGCAUUUGUGUCCGUGGUUCCCUGUUCUUAUAGUGACCCCCAGUUCUAUUGGGUGAGGCACCCACCCUACCACAGCAUGACUUCAUCCUAACCAUUUACACUUGUGACAACUCCAUUUCCAGAUAAGGUCACAUUCUGAGAGACCAAGGGUUAGGGCUUCAAUAUUUUUUUCAGGGGGUGGGGGCAAAGUUCAAACCCUCAGAACUUGACUUGAAGCAGUGUCAGUGUCCUGAGGAGCCUGAAGCCGUGAGGAUGUUCAGGGGGGCCUAGGAGCCUCAGCAAAUGUAGCAGGUUGGAAACUAGCACAGGGCAGUGUUUGUGAGUGGUCAGGAUGGAGAAUCUGACCUAUAGGAGGAAACAGGCAGGCAUGUGACCCUGGGGAAAACUUUUUUUUUUUUUUUAAUAUAUAUGCAAUCUUAAUCUCUCUUUCUCUGCCCAUAUCAUUUAUUUAUUUUUUAAAAUAACUUUUUAAUUUGUUUUAAUUAGUUACACAUGACAGUACAAUGAUCUUGACAUAUACAUUUGAAUGAGAUGGGAUAUAAUUUCUGGGGAAAACUUUUGCUGAAAAUAGAAGGGGCAAUUGUGAGGAUGGAAUUGAGUCCGCUUUCCUCUAUCGCCUCCAGAUGUAGCAAUUAUUAGCACGUAUGGGAAAAUGUUAAAAGCUCUGCUCUGGUUUGCACAUGGUUUGAGAGUGUCCCCCAUAGGUUCAUGGCUUGGUUCCCAGUGUGCUCAUAUUGAGGUGGUAGAAUCUUCAAGAGGUGGGCCCCGGUGCUAUUAUUAGGUCAAUGGGGCCUCACCCUCAGAAAGGGUUAAUGGUGAGAGGUCUUGUGAAGUGGAGUUAGUUCACAUUUGAGCUGGUUGUUAUAAAAUGAAGCUACCUCAGGCACCUGUCCCUUUCUGCACAUGGCCUUUCCCUUUCCAUUUCUCUAUCACAGCCAGAGGGACCCACAUCAGAGGCCAAAUAGAAGAAGGUGCCUGAUCUUGGGCUUUCGGACUAUGAGCUAAACAAACUUUUUUUCCUUAUAAAGUACCCAGCCUCAGGUAUUUUGUUAUAGAACAGAAAAUGAAACUGAUUCAAACUCUGUAACACAUGUUGGAACCCUAUGGAUAGCAGUAAGUGAUGCCAAAAAUAUGUUAUCAAGGUGACUAUGAUUCCAUCUAUACCCAUAUGUUGGUGAGGUUUGGGAAACCCCGCUUUUAUCAAAAUCAGACAGGAGACAGCAAGGAAGUUAUGGAGGAAGAGAAAGCAAGAAGCCUUUUCUCUUUACAUGAGAAAGUUCCAUCCUCAUAUAGUUUGGCACCUGAAAAAUAAAGUGGGAUCUUUUAGUAGGAGUUCAACAAAGGGAGAUAGGGCUCAAACAGGUCUAUAAUCCCAGCAUAGAAACUAGGGGACCAUUGAGGAAUGGAGGCAGAAGUUCCAUUGAAUGGCUUGGGCAUGUGUGGUUGGAAUUAUGGAAAGAUUGAUGCCAAGGAUAACUCAUAAUUAGAUACUGGAUUUAUAGAAUCAUGAUUGCUAGAAUGCCCUAUUUGCCCCUCUACCUGAAGGGGUAGAGCUGUCUCCUUCACAUUUCCGUUUCUAUCACAUAACACAGGGCAGGUUUUUAAAUCAAGGGCUGGAGUGAAUAUCUGUUGGAGGAAUGAUGAGAUGCCGGCCCACGUUGGUCAGGAUGGGCUCAGCAAUAGGGCGAGACUAAGGCUGUGUAAUCAGAUUCCACAGUUGGGAGAGGCAGGGGGCCAGGGACUGAGGUGUUCCAUCCUAGAGUUAUGCAUUCUAUCCCUGGUGCUGAGUGAGGAGGCAGCAAAGGUAGUAGAGAGGGAGGAAGCUGCACAGCACCGACUCCCACUGGGUGGGCUCCUGCUAAUUAAGUUUCAUUAUCAGGUUGAUAAUAUAUCAAUAGGUAUUCCAUAUUCAAAUGUAAGAAUUUAUUAUCUUCUCAACUGAAAGAUGAAUUUGAAUCAUGCUGUCAUUGUUUCUUUUCUUCCCUUAAUUGGUUAUAUUGAUUUCUUCUGUCUGGGAAAUAUAUCAGAACGAAUGCAUAAUUACCAUGAAGAAAUCUCAUUCCCGUUAAAGUACUAGAAAUAUUCCUGGGAUAGUUAAUACUCCACUGAGUGCCUAGACCCCCACUGUCAGAGCCCACGAGUGCAAAGGCAGAAAAUUAGAUGGAAAAAUUCGAACAUCAAUUCUAGUCAUAGCUUUGGAAGUAAUAUUAAAGGGUUUUUUUUUUUUUCCAAUUCAAAGUAACUCCCAAUAAAGGGACUUCCAUUGACUUUGCAGAGAUCUGACCAUGUAGCUACCACUCGAACUUUUAGUGAUAGUCGCCUCAUCCGUGGGCCAGCUUUACCAUUGGCCAACAGAUUGAGAGUCUGACAGAACAGGUCUGGGAACCAAGAACGUGUGUUGUCAUGCCGAUGGUGUUGUGUUAUCAAGUUCUAACAAUGGUUGACCAUGUUUUGAAACCACUGUUUCAGACUGGUGGUUUUCAAAAUUAUUCCAGCCAAGUAGACUAUAGAUAGAAACUAAAUCUUACACAGAAGCAGAAUGUUUGGGAGAGAUCAGAGAGUAGGAGAGUCAUUAGGCCGCUCUGAAUUCACGGAAUCCUCAAAGUAGACAAUUGUCUAGUGAUGAGGGUGCGAUCUAGUCAUAAAUGUGUUUUUUAAAAAAAAUUUUAGUUAUAAAUGGACACAAUUCCUUUAUAUCUUUAUUUUUAUGUGGUGCUGAGGAUCAAACCCAUUGUCUCACAUUUGCUAGGCAAGCACUCUAUCCCUGAGCCACAUCCGCAGACUUAAAUGUCAGUUCCUACUAUAGCCUAUCCAGUGUGUGUGUGUGGGGGGGGGCACACACACUCAAGUGUGUAUGAUGCUAGAGAUUGAAUCCAGGGUCUGGCACAAGCUAGGCAAGCACUCUACCACUGAGCUACAUUCCCAACCAUUUUUGUGUGUGUGUGGAGGGGUGGUGCAGGGCUUUGCUAAAUUGCUAACCUCAAAUUUGUGAUCCUCCUGUCUCAGCUCCAAAGCAGCUGGGAUUAUGGGCAUUUGCCACUACGUCCAACUGCAGCCUAUCAACUUCUAAUGACUAACUCAAAUGAUAGGAAAAUAGGCCUAUGAGUGAGUGAGGGGGUAUCACAAUUUGAAUAUGGUCCAGGCAUCACUGGUUCAUAGAAAAACCUCUGUGGAAGCCAAAUAGAGAAAACUGAUAGAAGAGGAGCUGCGAUUAGCUCCAAGGCCUUCUUGCUCUAAUGUCCCUGCCCGCUGUGCCCCCAGUGGUGAAGAACUGCGUAGUGCUCAUGGUUUGCAAACGAUGCUUAAAAGUUGUUGAUCUAGAUCUUCUCCCGUUUGCCAACAUCUCUCUUAAUCUGUAGGAAAUAAAGUGGUUCAUACUCAACCUCUGGAAGGAUACAGGUGUAACUUAUUGCAAGAAAACAAUUUCUUACCAUUUUGCCACAAGCACACAGGAGCCCAAACCAUGUCCCUAGACAUUGCUUCCUCUGGCAGAAGCUUCCAUUGCUUCAUUCCCUGAAGGGCCUCAGGGAGUCCCUUCUCUCUCUGAUGUCCCUAGGUCUUGGUUCCAUGCCUGACAUGUCUUGGAUUUUCCCUGGAAGGAUGCAUGAGAUUCCUCACUUUCUGUCACAGGACUACAAUGACCUGUUUCAGAUGCUUCAGAAUGGAACAAUCCUAAUGCCUCUCAGAGCUACUAUGAUAACAGUCUCGGCUUUGGAUCCUGUCUUAGAAAGACCCUCUUCCAACCAGGAUGAAGUGAAGGGAGGGAUGAGGAGCACGCGAGAGGUGAAAACCUCGUCUCCAUAUGCAUGGCCCGCACCGAUCCGGGCUGAUCAUCACCUUCCAUUCUCAUUCUACGACACACAUUUCCUUCACAUUUCAACAUCUCUGAGCCUGGAUGACAGCUGACCAUCAAUGGUGUGUCUCAGUUUAUUUGGCAGGUUAUUUCUUCCUUCUAUAUAGAAUAGUGGUGCAUUUCCAAUAAGAUGGAGACUUAGUAAUUUGAACUGGCUUUUCCCCUAUCUGAAAGUGGUUUAUCUCAAUGAUCACAAAUCAACAUCCAUGGGCAUGACCUUUCAAUUUUCUUUGAAUUUGCUCUGAACAAAUGGCAGCUUUCCUGUAUGCCUUGAGGAAAGAUAAGAAUUAGUUUUUCUAAGACCAUCCAAGCCAAUGACUCUAUUUUUAAAGACAUUUUAUUAACUCAAUCAGCAACUUUGAAUUGAAUAUCUAGUAUGAAUCCUAACCAUAGUUCUAAAUGUAAAUAUAUACACAGUGUUCCCCCUUGACCCCAGGGGAUACAUUCUAAGACAUUCCUUGGAUGUGAAUAGUAUUGAGCCCUAUAUAAACUCCAUAUUUUUAUAAACACACACACACACACACACACAGAUAUAUAUGAUACAGUUUAAUUUAUGAAAUAGUCUUAAGUAAGAAGUUAACAACAAUAACUAGCAAUAAAAAUAGGACAAUUAUAAUAAUCUACUCUAAUAAAAGUUAUUUAUGACUUUUGAACUUUU